GAGCCCUGAGAAUAGGUCUAAUCAUGUGACACUGAAACACCUGUGCACACCCACACAGGUGUAUUCAGGUUCAAGUUGGAUGGAGCCAUACCGGGAACUGCUUGAAUUUUUACUAAUCCACACAAUGCAGAAUGGGAAGAAGAGGAAAAAGUGCCUCUUAUUCUGACUUGUGAGUGUCCACACGUUAUUCUAGGUUUGAUCAACUGCAACUCAACUGUUAACAUCCCGGUUAACAGAGCAGAGGUCGACACCAUCUCACGGCCAUUAACUCCAGGUCAAACAGAGAAGAUGUUGCUCUUGUUGAUGGGGGAGUAAAGAGUUUAUUACCAUGUCCUCAAACACGUCAACAAGUUUAUCCCACUGCCGACGGAUCUUGGCCGCCGCCUUCUCGUGUUUCCGGUUCUUGCAGGAGUAGUUGUUCUUCAUCAGCUGGCCGAUGUAGUCCCUCACCACGUGGUAGUGCAGCCGGCUGGCAAACGGCUGUCGUCGAGAAACACAACGAGCACACACACGAAGGGAGAUAGAUGGCUGAAUAACAGGAUAGGCACACAAAAAAAGGGGGAAUGUGAGCAUCCCCGGGAGGCACUGGUGUCUUUAUUCGUCCGUCAGGCGACGAGCAGCCGUCAGAUCGUUUGCGCUGACACCCCUACUUCCAGCUAUUCAUUCGUGCCUGUUGCCGGGGUCUAGUCCUCUAACUGCAAUGUUUUCUGCAGUUGCGGCAUCCGGCAAAAUAACAAUGGUGCCCAGUUUGAUACACUGGAACUUCCAAAAGGGUCAACGAAAAGUAAAUAAGGAUUUCCUCUGCAGACAUUCAAAGCAAUUACUUUUAUCAGUGAAAACCUUAUCACUUCAAUUCAUUUUUAUUUAAUCUUCUUGCAUCUUUUGCACUCAUUAAGCCAAACCUAACCCCAAAUAUAAAACCUUAACAAACCUAAAAUCUCCUGUCAAUUUUUUAUU